UCCCUGGUAGUACAGUGGUUAGGACUGUGCACUCCCAAUGCAGGGGACCAGGUUCAAUCCCUGGUCAGGGAA